AAGAAAAUCUCUUCCAACGAGGACUUUCUCUCUUCUUUCCGGGCUCCACCUAUGGAAUAUGAGUCCAGAUGCUUUGUGGACUUAACAGAUAAUUCUCCCUGGAGUAUUGAAACGGACCCCAGGAGACCAGUCACGGCAUUUUCUUCACUGCGUUCUAAAGGAAUGAAGAGUUAAUCUUAUCCAAGUUCAGAGCCAGAAACCUGUCCUAUAAAAUCCCAGCAAAGACCGACAUUCUUUCCAACUUCCUUACUGGCCAUGGAGCUACGUUUUCCAGUGAUGUACAAGCUAAGUGGCCAUCAGGCAACAGGGAGCCAUUUGUCAGGUCACCGCCUUAGGGGUUCUGCGGUCCCCUGCUGGGGACAGUUCUCCUGGUGUGCGGGUCUCUCUGGGGGGAAAAUGCUGCUUGGGGUGGGGGGCAUGAAGAGGGAAACUUGAAGGGCUAGGAGGGAACAGGGGGCUGUCCUGGUUUACAGGACACUGGGAAGUCACAGCUUUGGUCCCCUGCAAAGGCUCCCAGUACACUGGUGGAAAGGGUGCAGGCUUUAAGCCUGCAAAUUUGACCUCUGCGCCUCCAUACCGCAAACCAUCAGGAAGAAGAAAAGUUGCAAAGAGAGCUGUGAACAAAGGGAGCAGGAGAGGGUGCAGCCAGGGUCCCCGUCAGGGAUGGGUGCAGGGCGAUGGGCGCUGUUCCCACCCCGUGGUCCUCUUCGGUGAGCAGAAGGGGGGAGGUGAGCUGGGAUUCUGCCCACUUUGAACAGCCAGGCACCUUUCUUUCUUCCAGAUUGCUUGCAGCACUGGAAUUCUUUCUUUCGGGAACCGGCAGGGUGCCACUUUUUUUCUGGUUUCCAGGGUGUGCCCCAUGCUUUACCCAGGAUGGAUGGGGAAUGAGGCCACGCUGAAAUGUCCCUGCGAAAUGUCCACACAGCCACCUGGCCUCGAAAGAAACGGCAGAUCCCAAGGAACCACCUUCAAGGCAAAAUCUAGGGGGUCCACCCCCUCCACUCCUGUGCCCCCAACAGAGGUUUUGCUCAGGCUAGAAAUGUGCAAACUGGGAAGUUUAACCAGGGGUCGAGGGUGAAUGCCUUGCUUGCCUAACAAGCAUCUAACGAACAUCCACUGUGUGCCAGGUUCUGAGCCAGCCCCGGAGCAGGGAUGCUCACAGGCCAGUGGGGAGACCCGCCUGACCCCAGGGGUCUCUGCCUGCUCUGAGAUGGGGCGGGAGGAGGAGCGAUUCCUCCCUUGCCCAUCUGCCACUUAGUGUCCCAGCCUGUCCUCUGCCAGCCCACGAUUGGCAAACCUCCACCUGCCCUGUCACCUGACUGCUUCUCAGGAUGUCUCCCGCUCUCCAGGCUUCUCUAGGGUCCCGGCCAGAAGAGGAGACUGUCCCCAUGUCACCACUCAGAGCUUUGCCCCAGUGUCUGCUCCUGAUGGCUGAGAUCCAGAAAGCUGUGACUCUGGCGAACUUCCUGGGGACACGGGCGACACCAGGGCCAGAUACCUGCGGGUCUGCAGUUUGAAAACUGCAGUCUGCGACUAUAAGAGUCCCCUGUGUUUGAAGAGCACAUAUCUCCCUCACACCCAGGGCGGGCAGGGUUUUCAGGUGGCAGAGCCGCCAUGACAGGCAGUAGGUGCCCAGCUGGAGAGUGACUGAAAUGGGCGAAAUCUGUGCUCCUCCUCCCAGGGAAGCCGGCAGAUGUUGACAGCACAGAGGGAAACAGUGGUUUACGAGAAGGGGAUGGAGUUCCUGUUGUGGCUCAGCAGGCCAGGAGCAGUCGUCAUGGCCUGACACCAAGUGCCACAUGGGGCCAGGUGGGCAAGAAUCUGCUACUGACUCACCCAACCAGCCAAUGUUGCCAGCCAGACAGCGGCACCCCCUGCCACCUUGGCUGAAGGAGCAAAGGCAGACUUUCCUACAUGUCCUCAGGCAUCUGUCACUUCUGGAGACCAUCAGUCAGGCUUUGCCAGCAGAGACGCAGUCCUGGACACAGAAGGUAGCGGGGAGGUCAUUGUGAGGCCAAUUGUCCAAAUAUGGCUACUCAUUCCUCUGAGUCAGCAAAAUAUAUUAACAACAACAACGAAAAAGAUCUGUGGGAGAGAAAAAUUUCCUGCCACAUAUUCUGGCCCCUUGAUGACCCCAAAGGCAUGUCGUGUGUCCUUUGCGGGGUCAGGAAGGAUGAGAAAGCAGACCCAGCCCUGGUUCUGCAGCCAUUGGCUCAGCAUCACUGCCAGGGAGCCAUGAAGCCUGUGCUGGGACCUCUGCGGACAGAGCCACACCGGCCUCCCACCUCCCUCCCCCAGAGCCAUGGCCAAAACCCCCUCCUGAGGACCAAGACUCCUGCCACCAUCCGGUACCGUCUUGAUCCUUUGGGCCAUAUACACAUACCACACACUACAGUCUGCUGCUCAGUUUUUCUGCCCUAAGUGGACUCACAUUUUCACUUCAAUAAAUUAGUUCAUAGAGAAGUUAA